AAACAUCAGGAUCAUCAGGUCUACAGCGAAAUCAACAUGAAGACUCUCAGCCUGACGGUGGGACUGCUGCUUGUACUCUUCAUCAUUUACUACGGCGAUGCCGCACCUCAUGGAGUGAAACCAACACCUGACCUUUGCUGUUUUAAAUUCUAUGGGAGAAAGAUCCCAACAAAGCAGAUCAAAUCCAUCAAAAAAACUCACAGCAAAUGCACAACACCAGCAUUUGUGAUCAAGACACCCAGAGGAGAUUUCUGCGUGAGACAGAGUGAGAAUUGGGCAUUGAAAGCAUUUGUCCAAAGGAAAUAACACAAUGAAGACAUGGAGAAUCUACCGCGCAAAAUGCCGAAAUGCAUCAAUUACUCCAUGAAUUUGCUUUUUAAUCCAGAAGUGUUGCUGGAGUUUUGACCUCUCCAUAAUGUGCCUGCUUAAUUACUGUCAGCAUUUCUGAAGACAAGAUACAUUUAUUAUGCAUUGAUUUAAUUCAAAAUAAAGAUAUCAAUUUUAGAAUUUGAAUGAAAUGUUAAAAAUUCUUUUUCUGAGGUUUUCUGUUUCGUUGCCACAGGUGUAUGAAAUCAAACACAUCUUUACAAUUGGCAGUCUUUACAAACAUUUGUGAAAGAAUCAGUCGCUUUGAAGACUGUGACACUUCUCUCUUUGAAAUACCACAAUCAUCUGAAAGUGAAAGCAUUCAGUGACGGAUUAGAUAAAGUUACAUGGUGGGGUUGGUGAUUGCAGAGACAGAGGGCUGGAAACAUCUCCAGUGCUCUGCUGACUCAGUAUCAUGUGUUUCCACGUGUAGGUGGCCCAAACUUUUGUCCAUAUAGUAUUCCACACUGCCUACAUUCACUUAAAGCAUGUUGUCCCAGCUUGAUGUGACAAUGUCCCAAAGAGCACUGCUAGGCUUUCUUUGGUCUUGGAGACGUUCUUCAAAGCUCUGAGGUGUGUUUUAGGCUCAUUCACACACUACUCUGUAACUUACUUUCCCACAAAGAUCCAAAUCACUGUUGAAGUGCAUUUCUCAAGAACAGAGUGCCACUUGUCCUCAGUCAGCGUGCAGUUGAUUUCAGUUCAGGUUACCACCUGUAGAGCAGGAAACGCCUCCUUAUAUUCCACUUUAUUUUCCUGCUGCUUAUCUCUAACUGAGCUAUCGUUAAUUUGAAAUAUUUUUGAUUCUGCAGACUUUGAGGUUAUUUCCAGGUUGAAAUGAGUGAUUUGUUUUCACUUUGCCAUUGUGAUACAGAUACAGUAUAUCCA
rnacentral:lncRNA from 1 species